rnacentral:rRNA from 1 species
AUGGCGCUCACCUCCCAGAGCCUCUUCUUCACCCCGUCGCCCGCCGGGCCUUCCCGGCGAGGCCGGGGCCGCCCCGUCACCAUGUCCGCCGCCGCAUCGCACAACUCGCAACCCCGAAACAACCCCUUCGCCGUCUCAUCCUCCGCCCCCAAAUCCGAAUCCAAGACCUCCAAAACCGACCUCGCCCUUGGCUCCGCCAUCGCUGCAGCCGCCUCCGGCGCUCUCCUCCUCGCCUUCUCUGGCGGCUUUGGGGGCGGCCCCAAGGGCCCCCUCGGCGGGGGAGGCGGAUGGGGCGGCGGCGGCGGCGGUGCCGGUGGCGGGGGCGGCGGGGGCUUCUGGUCGCGGAUCUUCUCCGCCGGCGCGGCGAAUGCCGACGAAAAGUCGUCGUCUGACUGGGACCCGCAUGGCCUCCCGGCCAACAUCACCGUGCCGCUCUCGAAGCUGAGCGGGCUGAAGAGAUACAAGUUGUCGGAGCUCAAGUUCUUCGACCGUGCCGCGCCUGGCGGAGGCGGCGCCACGGAUGCCGGGCCAGAGGACUCCUUCUUUGAGAUGGUUACCCUGCAGCCAGGCGGCGUGUACACCAAGUCACAGCUUCUGAAAGAGCUCGAGACGCUAGUCUCCUGCGGCAUGUUCGAGCGGGUUGACCUAGAAGGGAAGGCCAAACCUGACGGCACCCUUGGCCUCACCGUCUCCUUCACAGAGAGCGUGUGGAGUGCAGCCAAGCAGUUCAAGUGCAUCAAUGUUGGGCUUAUGGCGCAGUCGGGCCAGGCUGACUUCGAUCAGGACAUGACCGAGAGGGAGAAGAUGGACUACCUUCGGAAGCAGGAACGGGAUUACCAGCAGCGUGUCCGCGGCGCCAUGCCGUGCAUUUUGCCAGAGUCUGUCCGAGGGGAGGUUUUGGCAAUGAUGAAAAAACAGGAGAAGGUGAGUGCCAGGAUGCUGCAGAAGAUCAGGGACCAUGUUCAGAAAUGGUACCACAAUGAGGGCUUUGUAUGUGCACAAGUGGUGAAUUUUGGAAAUCUUAACACCAGUGAGGUUGUGUGUGAGGUCGUCGAGGGGGACAUAACCAAAGUGGAGUACCAGUUCCAGGAUAAGCUAGGGAAUUUUGUGGAAGGGAAUACCCAAAUUCCUAUCAUCGACCGGGAGCUGCCCCAGCAGCUUCGUCCUGGUCAUAUCUUUAAUAUUGGAGCAGGAAAACAAGCUCUGAAGAAUAUAAAUUCGCUCGCUUUAUUCUCCAAUAUAGAAGUGAAUCCACGUCCUGAUGAGACAAAAGAAGGUGGUAUUGUAGUUGAAAUUAAGCUUAAGGAAUUAGAACCAAAGUCUGCUGAAGUAAGCACAGAGUGGAGUAUCGUACCUGGACGUCAAGGCAGGCCCACCCUGGCAUCCAUUCAACCUGGAGGAACUGUGUCAUUUGAGCACCGCAACAUCUAUGGUCUUAACAGAUCCAUUGUUGGUUCUGUUACAUCGAGUAACCUGCUCAACCCUCAGGACGAUCUUUCAUUCAAGCUCGAAUAUGUCCAUCCGUAUUUGGAUGGUGUGGAUGACCGUAAUAAGAACCGCACCUUCAAAACUAGCUGCUUCAACACCAGGAAAUUGAGUCCUGUCUUUGUUGCUGGCCCCAAUAUGGAUGAAGCUCCACCUGUCUGGGUUGACCGAGUUGGAUUCAAAGCCAACAUAACAGAGAGCUUCACAAGGCAGAGCAAAUUCACAUAUGGCCUCGUCGUGGAAGAAAUCACAACACGUGAUGAAACCAACAGUAUCUGUACACAUGGUUCUCGGGCAAUGCCUAGUGGCGGCUUGAGCAUGGAUGGACCUCCCACAACCCUCAGUGGUACUGGUGUAGAUCGAAUGGCAUUUCUACAAGCAAAUAUUACUCGAGACAAUACAGAGUUUGUAAAUGGUGCAGUCAUUGGCGACAGAUGUAUUUUCCAGUUGGAUCAAGGUCUUGGGAUCGGAAGCAAAAGCCCACUCUUCAACCGUCAUCAGCUUACAUUGACAAAGUUCAUUAAUUUAAAUAAUCAAGAGAAAGGUGUUGGCAAGCCGCUGCCAGCUGUGUUGGUUCUUCAUGGUCAUUAUGCAGGUUGUGUAGGAGAUCUGCCAAGCUAUGAUGCAUUUACACUUGGAGGACCUUACUCAGUUAGGGGCUAUGGUAUGGGUGAACUGGGUGCAUCUAGGAAUGUUCUGGAGGUUGCUGGUGAGGUGCGCAUACCCGUGAAGAACACAUAUGUUUAUGGAUUUGCGGAGCAUGGCACUGACCUUGGGAGUUCCAAGGAUGUGAAAGGGAACCCCACUGAGUUCUUCCGACGCGUUGGCCAUGGAUCUUCUUAUGGUGUUGGCGUCAAGCUUGGCUUGGUAAGAGGAGAGUACAUCGUAGAUCACAAUACUGGGGCUGGAACCGUCUUCUUCAGAUUUGGUGAGAGAUUCUGA